rnacentral:rRNA from 1 species
CCUACGGGAGACAGCAGUGAGGAAUAUUGGUCAAUGGACGCAAGUCUGAACCAGCCAUGCCGCGUGCAGGAAGACGGCUCUAUGAGUUGUAAACUGCUUUUGUACGAGGGUAAACGCAGAUACGCGUAUCUGUCUGAGAGAAUCGUACGAAUAAGGAUCGGCUAACUCCGUGCCAGCAGCCGCGGUAAUACGGAGGAUUCAAGCGUUAUCCGGAUUUAUUGGGUUUAAAGGGUGCGUAGGCGGUCGGAUAAGUUAGAGGUGAAAUCCCGAGGCUCAACUUCGGAAUUGCCUCUGAUACUGUUCGGCUAGAGAGUAGUUGCGGUAGGCGGAAUGUAUGGUGUAGCGGUGAAAUGCUUAGAGAUCAUACAGAACACCGAUUGCGAAGGCAGCUUACCAAGCUACUUCUGACGUUGAGGCACGAAAGCGUGGGGAGCGAACAGGAUUAGAUACCCGAGUAGUC